rnacentral:rRNA from 1 species
UAGUGGCGAACGGGUGAGUAACACGUGGGCAAUCUGCCCUUCACUCUGGGACAAGCCCUGGAAACGGGGUCUAAUACCGGAUAACACUGCGGAUCGCAUGGUCUGCGGUUAAAAGCUCCGGCGGUGAAGGAUGAGCCCGCGGCCUAUCAGCUUGUUGGUGAGGUAGUGGCUCACCAAGGCGACGACGGGUAGCCGGCCUGAGAGGGCGACCGGCCACACUGGGACUGAGACACGGCCCAGACUCCUACGGGAGGCAGCAGUGGGGAAUAUUGCACAAUGGGCGAAAGCCUGAUGCAGCGACGCCGCGUGAGGGAUGACGGCCUUCGGGUUGUAAACCUCUUUCAGCAGGGAAGAAGCGAAAGUGACGGUACCUGCAGAAGAAGCGCCGGCUAACUACGUGCCAGCAGCCGCGGUAAUACGUAGGGCGCAAGCGUUGUCCGGAAUUAUUGGGCGUAAAGAGCUCGUAGGCGGCUUGUCACGUCGAUUGUGAAAGCCCGAGGCUUAACCUCGGGUCUGCAGUCGAUACGGGCUAGCUAGAGUGUGGUAGGGGGAGAUCGGAAUUCCU